AUACUGCUGAGGAGUCCCAUAAUAGGACGGAACGGCCGUCCAGUGC
rnacentral:hammerhead_ribozyme from 1 species